ensembl:snoRNA SNORD73 Small nucleolar RNA SNORD73
AAUAAGUGAUGAAAAAGUGUUUCGGUCCCAGCUGAUGUUCAGUGAUAACUGUUAUACUUUUCUGAUGUU